AUGCUUAGGUUUACCUCCACUGUAUUCACAUCCUACCAUACCUUUGUCUUUACAUUAUACCUUGAAGCUAUUUUAUCGCCCCCAGAAACCUGCUCCUUUUACUCUCUAUUCUGGACGUCAUCGACGACCAAUUCUCAUAGCUUUAGCCGUACCCUUAUCUUGCUCCUCUGUUCCUCUGGUGAUGUAGAGGUGAAUCCAGGCCCUGCAGUGCCUAGCUCCACUCCUAUUCCCCAGGCGCUCUUUUGUGAUGACUUCUGUAACCGUAAUAGCCAUGGUUUCAUGCAUGUUAACAUUAGAAGCCUUCUCCGGAAGUUUGUUUUAUUCACUGCUUUAGCACACUCUGCCAACCCGGAUGUCCUAGCCGUGUCUGAAUCCUGGCUUAGGAAGUCCACCAAAAACUCUGAAAUCCUCAUCCCUAACUACAACAUUUUCAGACAAGAUAGAACGGCCAAAGGGGGCGGUGUUGCAAUCUACUGCAGAGAGCCUGCAGAGUUCUGUCCUACUAUCCAGAAAUAAAAAAGAGAUGGAGCUACUGAGGCCUGCACUUCUUAUUGUCUUUAUCUCAAAAGCAAUUGCAAAACCAGUAAGUGGAUGAACAUUUUAUUUAUCUUAUAUAUCUUUUGCCAUAAUUAGUAGCAGUAGUGGCUAUCGUUACAGUAUUUUCAGGUGCUGAUGUGCUUUGUUCACUCCACAGUUCAACAGACUUGGACAUCACAAUGGUCCACAGUUCAACAGACUUGGACAUCACAAUGGACCACAGUUCAACAGGCCUGGACACCACAAUGUUCCACAGUUCAACAGGCCUGGACACCACAAUAUUCCACAGUUCAACAGGCCUGGACACCACAAUAUUCCACGAAUCCACGAGUCCUCAGAAUCUGAUGAAUCAAGAAUGACACGAGGACCAACUGCUCCAACCACAGUGAACCCUCCCACUGCUGCCAUGUCAACUAUUCCACCAGUGACAGAAAUGUCCACGAAUGGGCCAAUUGUCAGUGAAACGACACCGUCACCAGGGAAUGUUACUGCACGUGUCACUGAGGACAUUACAACUCCCGCUCCAGCAACUAGAGGAGACAACUAAUAAUGAGAGUAUUCAUGAGAAUACUUAAUUAUAAUUAUUCCAGAGUUUAUAAAUCAUUGCUUUUUUUACGUCAUCAUUUUUUGUAUGGACUGUUUACAGUACCUGCAUUGUAUGAAAUAUCUUGGAUCUUUUUAUAUUUUUUAUGCAGCAGCAUUUCUAGGUAAUGUUAUCCAUAGCUUCAUAAUAACCCUAUCAGAAGCCCUGUAAUCUUUACUAGUUCAACAUAUGGUGGUAGUUACGGGUGUUUGAAUGUCUGUGAACUAGGUGAUCAUAAUCUGCUGGGUGUGAUAGAAACAUCUGUGAAUGUUUGAUUGAUUUAUUGAUAUUGUUGUGUUAUGCUCCAGUAUGUCUCUUUACAUACAGUAUGUAGUGACUUGCUCUUUGGAGUUUUAGGCUGGUUAUCUGUAAAGUACAUUGCGACAACUGCUGAUUUAAAAAGGGCUUACUAACAUACAUUUGAUUGAUAUUUGUUGUGAACUUGUGUACUCAAUAAAGAGAUAGAAAAAUACUUAAAAAGAGAAAAGAUGUCUCUUAAUUGAUUAUAUUUUUGAUUACUGUUAUCAAGUUUUAGUUCUUGGUAUGAUCAGUCAUAAUAGAUGAUUAGUGUAUUAGUGUACUCCAUGCUUGGAAAAGAGUGAGUGUUCAGUGAGAUGGAGUGUGUGAUUAACAGUGGGAUUUUGACAGUGAUUUUAUCCAUUCCUACAGCGCUGUCUUGUGGCUAUUUGUUGCACUACACCACCAAGGGAUCAUGGCACAGCUUGAGUUAUGUGUGAACUCCAGCUUCCUCCUGACCGAGACAACACCUCAUCAGACAAUAGAGUAAGGAAUGUUACGUUGAGAAAAACAACCUAUGAACAACUUAAUUUGAAGACUCAAAAUGUAAUUUUUUCCAGUUCUAUUUUACAUCCAGCAUGUUUACUGUGACAGGGCCUUUGUUCAUAUUUUAGCUCAUAAUGACGCUGAAUGAUGGAUUGUGGUUUCUCUGGUGAACACCACUGUGAAUCCCCCUGGAGUCUCUACAUACUAUGCACAGAGCUCAAUGGCUCAGCAGACACAACAAUGUAUACACAUGUGAAAUAACACACCCACUAUGAGUUCUAUGAAAAAAAGAAUGCAUGUAUUUAGGAAUGAUACAACGUUAUACAUUAUUACAGUAAAAAUGGGACAAACAAUAUGUAGUGUAAAUAAUUGUGCAAUUGAACAAAAUUGACUGUUCUAUAUGUCAUGAUGAGAUGGCUAGUAUGAAUCUUAUCAUGUAUUAUUGUUGUACUGUAUCAGACCCUAAGGGCCCUGUAUUGUGCUUAUGUGUCUUCCGUUAUUCUCUCCGUUCUGACCUCUCCUCCUAAGGCAGGGUCAUAGAGCACCUUCCAGGUGCUGGUAGCAUUCUUCACUGUCGACAGCAGC
rnacentral:lncRNA from 8 species